rnacentral:rRNA from 1 species
UACAGAGGUCUCAAGCGUUGUUCGGAUUCAUUGGGCGUAAAGGGUGCGUAGGCGGCGCGGUAAGUCGGGUGUGAAAUCUCGGGGCUUAACUCCGAAACUGCAUUCGAUACUGCCGUGCUUGAGGACUGGAGAGGAGACUGGAAAUUUACGGUGUAGCGGUGAAAUGCGUAGAUAUCGUAAGGAAGACCGUGGCGAAGGCGGGUCUCUGGACAGUUCCUG